rnacentral:tRNA from 2 species
ACGCCAGUAGCUCAACUUGGUAGAGCAUUGGUCUCCAAAACCAAAGGUUGGGGGUUCGAUUCCCUCCUGGCGUG